rfam:chromosome XI of strain GB-M1 of Encephalitozoon cuniculi (Microspora)
GUGACAUUGGCGCAAUAGGUAGCGCGCUGGUCUCAUAAUCCAGAGGUUGCGAGUUCGAGUCUCGCAUGUCGCA